AGUGAACGCUGGCGGCAGGCCUAACACAUGCAAGUCGAACGGUAGCACAGAGGAGCUUGCUCCUUGGGCGACGAGUGGCGGACGGGUGAGGAAUACAUCGGAAUCUACCCUGUCGUGGGGGAUAACGUAGGGAAACUUACGCUAAUACCGCAUACGAACUGAGGUUGAAAGCAGGGGACCGCAAGGCCUUGCGCGAUUGGAGGAGCCGAUGUCCGAUUAGCUAGUUGGUAAGGUAAAGGCUUACCAAGGCGACGAUCGGUAGCUGGUCUGAGAGGAUGAUCAGCCACACUGGAACUGAGACACGGUCCAGACUCCUACGGGAGGCAGCAGUGGGGAAUAUUGGACAAUGGGCGCAAGCCUGAUCCAGCCAUGCCGCGUGUGUGAAGAAGGCCUUCGGGUUGUAAAGCACUUUUGUUGGGAAAGAAAAGCGGUCGGUUAAUACCCGGUCGUACUGACGGUACCCAAAGAAUAAGCACCGGCUAACUUCGUGCCAGCAGCCGCGGUAAAAC
rnacentral:rRNA from 1 species